GCCCUGGUGGCACAAUUGGUCAGCGCGUGAGACUUUUAAUCUCAAGGUUGAGAGUUCGAGCCUCUCCCAGGGCG
rnacentral:tRNA from 1 species